CCUGACACCAAUCCUGAGAAACGAACACUUCACGCCAGGCAUGACCCCAAAAGACUUUGCGCACUACGAAGACAACGACCUCAUCAGGACAUAUCAAUUCUUCCGAAACCAAAAACUCAUUGCUUUCACGGACCUGCCACAAACCAGACCACUCACCACACACGACUUCUUCCGCUACCUGCAAAUCAAAAAUCUCCUAGACACCCCUACCUACAAACAAGCCGGAAAUACACCCCUCACCGUUUUUGAGCAGGCAUGCAUCCAUGCCCCCAUACAAAAAAGUCAGAUCUCCACAACCUACGAACUACUGCUCAAACCGAUAGGAACACACCCACCUGGGUAUGUAAUAGCAUGGGAAAGGGAUCUAGGACCCCCCGCAGACCCCACAGACUGGUCCGCAAUCUGGGUAGCCACAGCGACAGUGACAAUAUGCGUAACACAUAAAGAACAGAUUGCAGAGGAAGAGGUUCUAUUUCAACUGUCAAAAGUAAAGACAAAUAAGUCAAUGGGACCUGAUGGAAUACACCCAAAGCUAUUAAAAGAGCUUAGUGGUGUACUAGCAAAAC